GAUGAACGCUGGCGGCGUGCCUAAUACAUGCAAGUCGAGCGAACAGACGAGGAGCUUGCUCCUCUGACGUUAGCGGCGGACGGGUGAGUAACACGUGGAUAACCUACCUAUAAGACUGGGAUAACUUCGGGAAACCGGAGCUAAUACCGGAUAAUAUAUUGAACCGCAUGGUUCAAUAGUGAAAGACGGUUUUGCUGUCACUUAUAGAUGGAUCCGCGCCGCAUUAGCUAGUUGGUAAGGUAACGGCUUACCAAGGCAACGAUGCGUAGCCGACCUGAGAGGGUGCUCGGCCACACUGGAACUGAGACACGGUCCAGACUCCUACGGGAGGCAGCAGUAGGGAAUCUUCCGCAGUGGUCGAAAGCUUGACGGAGCAACGCCGCGUGAGUGAUGAAGGUCUUCGGAUCGUAAAACUCUGUUAUUAGGGAAGAACAAAUGUGUAAGUAACUAUGCACGUCUUGACGGUACCUAAUCAGAAAGCCACGGCUAACUACGUG
rnacentral:rRNA from 1 species